GACGAACGCUGGCGGCGUGCUUAACACAUGCAAGUCGAACGCUGAAGCUUGGUGCUUGCACUGGGUGGAUGAGUGGCGAACGGGUGAGUAAUACGUGAGUAACCUGCCCUUGACUCUGGGAUAGCCUGGGAAACUGGGUCUAAUACUGGAUACGACAUGUCACCGCAUGGUGGUGUGUGGAAAGGGCUUUACUGGUUUUGGAUGGGCUCACGGCCUAUCAGCUUGUUGGUGGGGUAAUGGCUCACCAAGGCGACGACGGGUAGCCGGCCUGAGAGGGUGACCGGCCACACUGGGACUGAGACACGGCCCAGACUCCUACGGGAGGCAGCAGUGGGGAAUAUUGCACAAUGGGCGGAAGCCUGAUGCAGCGACGCCGCGUGAGGGGUGACGGCCUUCGGGUUGUAAACCUCUUUCAGCACGGAAGAAGCGAAAGUGACGGUACGUGCAGAAGAAGCGCCGGCUAACUACGUG
rnacentral:rRNA from 1 species